UUAUUCUAUUUGAAAAAAAAGCUUUAACGUUAAUAAAAAGAGUGACUGGAGAAGAAAAAGAUGUCAUCCAAGAAGAAGAAGAAAAAAGGUUUGAGAGGGUAGUUGUUUUUUUAUCCUGCAUGAAGUUGAAUAUAAAGGUGAUAUACAUUCUAGACUAGAAAGACAUAAUAAAGUAUUCUUGUUUUUCAGAUGGCAAGUAUGUGAGUCACAUGUUGAAGUUUUACAAUGAGCAGGAGAGUCUUCCAAAGAAAGUUACGUUGUGAUAUACAAUUACUGAUAACUUUGUGAUUCAGGAGUUUCAGUGGAGAAAUAUGAUCUUUGGGGUUCAUAGGAUUUGAUCACAUGAUCAACCAAGUUCAUAUCACGAUUUAAUUAGAGGCGAACAAAAAACAAACCAACAAGGGGAAAACGCCCACAUGCUGAGUAAAUUUCACUUGAUUGUGAUGCAAUCCCUUAGGAUCACCAUAUGUUGGGUUGUUUUUUUUAAUCAAAAUAAUAUUUAUAAUAUUAUCUUUAUUUGUGCGUUAUACUACUUGUGAACCAAAUGAUAGAGUGCUUACAAUAAUUAUUUUAGUUUUCGAUAUAUCGACUGUUAACUAACGCUCUUUUAAUUUUGUGUAUCUGAUGAAAUGUAGACCUGAAAGUAAAAUAA